rnacentral:tRNA from 1 species
UUAGUUAAAGCCAAUAUUUGAGGCAUAUUAAUGUUAAUAAUAUUAUAGAGAACCUUUCUCUAACUAAG